GAUGAACGCUGGCGGCGUGCCUAAUACAUGCAAGUCGAGCGAACAGACGAGGAGCUUGCUCCUCUGACGUUAGCGGCGGACGGGUGAGUAACACGUGGAUAACCUACCUAUAAGACUGGGAUAACUUCGGGAAACCGGAGCUAAUACCGGAUAAUAUAUUGAACCGCAUGGUUCAAUAGUGAAAGACGGUUUUGCUGUCACUUAUAGAUGGAUCCGCGCCGCAUUAGCUAGUUGGUAAGGUAACGGCUUACCAAGGCGACGAUGCGUAGCCGACCUGAGAGGGGGACCGGCCCCCCUGGAACUGAGACACGGUCCAGACCCCUACGGGGGGCAGCGGUAGGGAAUCUUCCGCAAUGGGCGAAAGCCUGACGGAGCAACGCCGCGUGAGUGAUGAAGGUCUUCGGAUCGUAAAACUCUGUUAUUAGGGAAGAACAAAUGUGUAAGUAACUAUGCCCGUCUUGACGGUACCUAACCAAAAAGCCACGGCAAACUCCGU
rnacentral:rRNA from 1 species